GGUCAAUGAUGAGAUGUAAAAGGUCUGAUUGCCCGAUUCCCCUACCUGCUGCAUGCAACUCCCAGCAGCCCCUGACCCCUACCCAGCAUGCUCUAGUUGUGCAGUGUUGGAUUCAGGGACUGCUGACAAACAGGAUGAGCAGUCUGUGUCUCUCAAGAAACAAAGAUUCAGUCAUGAUGGACAUCCAACAUAACCAACCAUCAAGGAGUUGUGGGCCCUGGUAUGGGGCUGGGCCACUGAUCUCAAACCUGUGCUGAGACC